rnacentral:rRNA from 1 species
ACGCUCGACACCUACGGGAGGCGGCAGUGGGGAAUAUUGCACAAUGGAGGAAACUCUGAUGCAGCGACGCCGCGUGGAGGAAGAAGGUCUUCGGAUUGUAAACUCCUGUUGUUGAGGACGAUAAUGACGGUACUCAACAAGGAAGUGACGGCUAACUACGUGCCAGCAGCCGCGGUAAUCUGAGCGGGCUGGCAAGGC